CCUUCGAAUCAGCUGAGAAAUGAAGAACCAUUAAAUGAGUGGUGUUAGGAUAUCCACGUGGGAAAAGAAAAAGAAUCUAGAUCCUGCCCCCCUCACACAGUGCUCACACACAUAGUUCACAACAAUAAAUUCCACCUAUCCUAGGGAACUAACCAUGUGAAAACCAUAGAAGUCUCAUAACAUACAGGGUGAGGCAAAAGUAGGUUACAGUUUUGGGUGCAUGAAAUUCUUGCGUUAUUUAUUAACUAUUGUAUUAUUUUCCAUAUGAAUAACUGUAACCUGUAUCACAGAACGUGUUAAAACUAUGAGUAGGCAAACCUGUCUUUAAGAAAACAUAAAUGAAAGGAAAAAAUGUGAAAGAUUAAUACAUCUCACAACAUCAAAACUUAAUGCUUUUCUACCCAAAGCUAUCUACAGAGUCAAUGCAAUGCCCAGCAAAAUACCAACAGCAUUUUUCACAGACCUAAAACAAACAAUGCUAAAAUUUAUACAGAACAGCAAAAGACCCCAAAUACCCAAAGCAAUAUUGAAAAUGAACAAAGUUGGAGGUAUGCUACCUAAUAUCAAACAAUACUGCAAGGCUAUAGCAACAAAUUGAUGCUCCUCAGAUAGGAGGGGACUUGGGGAGCUGGGUGGAAAAGAUAAAGGGAUUAAGAAGUACAAAUUGCCAGUUACAAAAAUAGAAAGAUGGAAAGUACAGCAUAAGGAAUAUAGUCACUAGUAUUGUAAUAACUGUACGGUGUCAGCUAGGUACUAGACUUACUGGGGUGAUCAUAAGGCAUAUAAAUGUAAUCACUGUUAUAUAGCUGAAACUAAUAAAAUAUUGUAUGUUAGUUAUUGAAAAUAAAAUGUUAAAAAAAUCUAAAACAAUUCUUUUGUAAAGAGGAUACAGUGAAUAAAAUUAAAAGACAAGUGACAGAAGAGAGAAAAAUGAAAUGCAGCAUACAGAGCUAAUGAUCCAGGAUGUACUGGGGGGGAAAAA